CUCCCCGCGCGCUCGGCCACCCGGAGCACCCCGCGCCGCCCUCCUUGGCCCCUCUCUCGCGCCAGUGUCCCCCGCGCGGCUCCCCGCGCCAGAUCGGCCCUCCCCCGGGGCGCGCUCGCACACCGAGAUAUGAGGAUCAAUGAUGCAGACUGCUGGGUUCGAUGAAGCUGGGCAUUUAUAACUAGAUUCAUUAAGGAAUACAAAGAAAAUAUUUAAAGGGAUCAAUAAUGGUGUCUUCUGGUUGCAGAAUGCGAAGUCUGUGGUUUAUCAUUAUAAUCAGUUUCUCACCGAAUACAGAAGACUUGUUGCUGUUGAUGCUCUGAGAUGGCUUACCUUGUAAAGACCGUCAUUGCUCGGCCUGGUGACCUUAGCUAAGCUUCUGGAGUUCAUUGGAGAUGGAAAGAACAGGCUACAACAAGUUUUUCUGUGACCCACACCCAGGCACACACUUGUAAAUAAAUACACCCUCACAUGCA
rnacentral:lncRNA from 1 species